GUCUAACCCCAUCUCCUUGAAUUCCCUCCUGAAGCCAGAUGCCUGACCUGGAGACAUGCCAAAAUCUACAUUGGAGAGUUGCUCUCUAGGAACCAGGUACUGGAGUUUUGGCUGAGAAUCCUGCAUAUAAAGGGAUUGUCUAGGUGCUGCUUGACCACUUCUGUUCAAGGACUGGUGUAUGCUGCAUGCUGAGGUAUUACCACAUGAUGAAUAGAAAUCAUUAAGUCCACCACCUAAAGGCAGCUACCCCUCCAGAAGAGCUCUGCAGGUGCUGUGCAACAGGGUUUUGUACUGGCCAUCACCAAGAUAUUGAAACAGCUCCCAGGCAGACUCAUGAGACAUCUGAGAAGUUCCUGGGAGUUCUUAAAGUGGCCUUUUCACCUUUUUGGGAUUUUAUGUAAUCAAGUUAGACUUAGUAAUAAUUCAGGACACAAGAGAUGUGUGAUUGGAAAGACUAUUCACCUGUGCAUGACAGCAGCUGUAAGUAUGUGUGGCUUUGCUAUUGGGAAAGGUCAAAUGGAGGGCUUAUGUAGCUCUAGAUCUAAAGGAAAUCACUGUUCUAGAGGGAAGGGACAGUGAGAUCAACACCAAGGGAGGACCCCAGUGCAGAAGGCCUUUUUCCCUUUCCCAAGGCUCUAGUCUGGGGAUGUCCUAGGGGCAGGAGGAUAUAAAAUGAUGAAAUGUGGCUGGUGUUCUUGCUGCUGGCUGUAAUUUCCCAGCCUGUUGUAACUUGAAGUCAUGGGCCAAAUACAGCUCUGAUGUCAUCUGGAACAAAAUCACUG